rnacentral:rRNA from 1 species
GAUGAACGCUAGCGGCAGGCUUAAUACAUGCAAGUCGUGGGGCAGCAGGGUUGUAGCAAUACAAUCGCUGGCGACCGGCAAACGGGUGCGUAACACGUACGCAACCUUCCCGUUACUGUGGAAUAGCCCAGGGAAACUUGGAUUAAUACCACAUAUUAUAUUGAUGAGGCAUCUCGUUGAUAUCAAAGCUUCGGCGGUAACGGAUAGGCGUGCGGUUGAUUAGGUAGUUGGCGGGGUAACGGCCCACCAAGCCUACGAUCAAUAGCUGAUGUGAGAGCAUGAUCAGCCACACGGGCACUGAGACACGGGCCCGACUCCUACGGGAGGCAGCAGUAAGGAAUAUUGGGCAAUGGACGAAAGUCUGACCCAGCCAUGCCGCGUGAAGGAUUAAGGUCCUCUGGAUUGUAAACUUCUUUUCUCUGGGGCGAAAACCAGCUAUUCUUAGCUAUUUGACAGUACCAGAGGAAUAAGCACCGGCUAACUCCGUGCCAGCAGCCGCCGUAACAC